rnacentral:rRNA from 1 species
UACGGAGGGUGCAAGCGUUAUCCGGAUUCACUGGGUUUAAAGGGAGCGUAGGAGGGCAGGUAAGUCAGUGGUGAAAUCUUCGAGCUUAACUCGGAAACUGCCGUUGAUACUAUCUGUCUUGAAUACCGUGGAGAUGAGCGGAAUAUGUCAUGUAGCGGUGAAAUGCUUAGAUAUGACAUAGAACACCAAUUGCGAAGGCAGCUUACUACCCGAAUAUUGACACUGAGGCACGAAAGCGUGGGGAUCAAACAGG